rnacentral:rRNA from 1 species
UUUCGCAAUGCCCGAAAGGGUGACGAAGCGACGCCGCGUGGGUGAGGAAGGCCCUCGGGUUGUAAAGCCCUGUCAGGAGUUAAGAAAUGUAGACCCGCUAAUAUCGGGUCUAUUUGACAAAGGCUCCAAAGGAAGCCACGGCUAACUCUGUGCCAGCAGCCGCGGUAAUACAGAGGUGGCAAGCGUUGUUCGGAAUUAUUGGGCGUAAAGAGCACGUAGGUGGAUUUGUAAGUCAGAUGUGAAAGCCUUCUGUUCAACGGGAGAAUUGCAUCUGAAACUACAGACCUUGAGUAUAGGAGGGGAGAAUGGAACUUCUGGUGGAGCGGUGAAAUGCGUAGAUAUCAGAAGGAACGCCGGCGGCGAAAGCGAUUCUCUGGCCUAUUACUGACACUCAGUGUGCGAAAGCUAGGGGAGCAAACGGGAUUAGAUACCCCGGUAGUCCUAGCCGUAAACGAUGGGCACUAAGUAGAGGGGUUUUA